UGCCUUCAAAUGAUUUAUUGUAGGUGCUUCCAUAUAUCGACUUACUAGUCCAACUCCGUAGAGAAUAUCUGGCCUCGUGCAGGUUAGGUACCUCAGACUUCCAACCGGAAGGCGAAUAAAACAGACAAUAGUCAAUUGUACCUUUGAUGUAGCGAAGUAUCCUCUUUGAUGCCUUCAAGUGAUUUAUUGUAGGUGCUUUCAUAUAUCGACUUACUAGUCCAACUCCGUAGAGAAUAUCUGGCCUCGUGCAGGUUAGGUACCUCAGACUUCCAACCAAACUCUUGUAUUGUGUUGGGUGAUUUAUUGUAGGUGCUUUCAUAUAUCGACUUACUAGUCCAACUCCGUAGAGAAUAUCUGGCCUCGUGCAGGUUAGGUACCUCUGACUUCCAACUAAACUCUUGUAUUGUGUUGGGUCCACCAAGUAUCCUUCAUCAUCUUUUGACAACUUGAGGUUGCAAUCCACCGGUGUGUUCAGCGACUUGCAGUCAUUCAUCUUAAACUUCUUCAGCAUCUCCUUCGCAUAACGUUAUUGGGAUAUGAAUAUUCCUUCUUUCUUUUGUUUCACCUCGAUCCCAAGAUAGUAAGCCAUAAGUCCAAUGUCGGUCAUAUCAAACUCCCGAACCAUUGCUUUCUUGAACUCCUCGAACAUUUUGGGCCGGUGAAUAUCAAGUCAUCCACGUAUAGGCACAUAAGCAUAACAUCUCCAUCCUUGCUUACUUUGGUGUAGAGGGCAUGCUCAUGUGGGCAUUUUGUAAAGUCAUUCUGCUGGAAAUACUUGUCUAUUGUGCUAUUCCAUGCCCGAGCGCUUGCUUCAACCCGUAUAAGGCCUUUUUCAAUUUCAGCACCUUAUUCUCUUGGACUUUCACGAUGUAUCCCGAAGAUUGUUCUAUAUAGACUUCUUCUUCUAAGUGGCCAUUAAGGAACGCAGAUUUGACAUCCAUUUGAUAAAUCUUCCAAUUAUGCUGAGCCGCAAAUGAGAUCAUCAAUCUUAUAGUUUCUAGACGAGCGACAGGAGCAAAUACCUCGUCAUAGUCUAUGCCGGCUCGUUGACUAUAUCCCUUCGCCACCAACCAUGCCUUGUAUCUUUCAACUUCACCUUUGGAAUU
rnacentral:lncRNA from 1 species